rnacentral:lncRNA from 1 species
CCGGAUUAAGCCAGUCAACUGAUGAAGGUCGCCAUAAAAAGCGGCGUUAUUAACUCUUAAGGUAAGCUCUUCCUCUUGCUUUCCUAUAUGGAAAGUGAUAUCUGAUUCUAUGUGUUUAACCCGUUUGCCGUAUUCAUCGCUCUGCAGUCGGAGAUAGCACAUCAAGAAAAAAGAUGCAGCAUCUAUGAAUACUGGACUUAGAUGAAAUAAUUAAUGGCAUGUUGGUUGUUUCUACUGUGUACCUCGGUAAGAUUGCUCAAAAGUUUUCUUCCAUCAGUGAAAUAAAUCUCCAAUAUGUGCGCGAAGGAUUCUUUAUCCAACCGUAAGAGCCUGCAAAGUUCGCAAACACGAACAGUGUAGGGCUGUGGAAUGUUGCAGAGAAUAGCAAUUUCUCCAAAAGAAUUCCCUUGCUCCAACAUAAGAAUAGUCUCUUGACCAUCUUCGCCAACGGCAGCACCUUCCUGAACGGAAGAAUAUAUGUUGUCUAAGAUGGAUAAUAACUAGUUGUAAGGUCAAAUUUCAGCUAGGAAUGACUGCACCAUUAGCUUGGGACACAAUUUGUGGCAUUAGAAAUGUACCCGAAAAGAACAACUUAGUUGUGGUGCAUGUGCGUUAUUAUGAUACAAUUGUACGUAGAGAAUUUCUUUCACAAUCGACAGUACAUUUAUAAAUACAAAGAUAAACAAGCGGUGCCAAAAAAUAUGUGAAUACAAUGUUAAUAUUGAGAGUAUAUACAACGGCACAAAAUUUGUGGGUAAUAUAUUUGUGGAUUGUGUACACUCUGUAGCUAUACCCCAUUAGUAUUCGUCGGAAUUCAUGCUCUGAGAUUUGCGCCCAUGCUUAGGGAACUCACACUCUUAGAUAUAAAAAUGUGGAACCGCCAGAAGGAAUUUAACAAUAACCAGUAUAUUACGGAAAGACACACAAUAGUAAACACAUAUGAAAACCAAAUGAUUCGAUAAUUAACCAAUUUGGUUUAGGCUUUGAUUAUUGUUUAAGGAUUGAACUAACCAGUGCACCCUGACAGACAAAGUAUAACUGGUCAACCGCACUCCCUUGCUCCAAAAUAACUUCUUCUGGUAAGAAGAACUCUUCUUGCAGCCUAAUCACCUGCAAGGAGCAAAGCCACAUUAAAAAAUCUUGGGAACUUCUUCAACUUUAUACACCAGGUCAACAUGCAUAGUUUGUCAGAGUGAAAACAGCGCGCACAAUCUGUUGAAGGAAUUCUUCCGAACAUCCUUUGAACAAUGGAGUCCUUUCAAUGUAUGGCAUGUACAGUGUUUGAGAAAUCUGCAAAUACAAAAUAUAUUAUCAGUCAAAGACUCACAACAGACAAGAACAUAUUUGAUGUGCCUUGUUGAAGACACAAGACUUCCAACUGCAAGCUGACUAUUGUAGAGAGGACAGUCUUAAAACUACAUCACUGAAGAAUGGCAAGAUCUCCAAAUUAUAACUAUUAUCACCUUUGCACGAAUAGAAACAGGAAUGUCCCGAAGUACAGAGGCUUCAGUGCAGCUGCUCUCAUACUGCAACCUCAAAUGCCCCUUGAUCUGUUCUCUGAUGUCCUUUCCAAGUCUAUUUCUGUUCAUAUACCUGAUAACUUCUUUCAUUUUAUCCCUGAAUCGCUCGGUUGCCGAGCCUUUCACAAUCAUUGCAGUCAUGUUACCGAUAAGGUAAGCACCAAGAACCAUAUCAAAGGAAACAUAAAUCAUGACAAAUAUCAUUUCCCUAACAUUUAUAGCAUGAAUGUCACCGUAGCCUGCAGAGGAAAAAUAAGACCAUAUCAUCAUCUUAAAAUACUAUAUAGGCUAAAAUAAGUAGUUAUGGAAAGCAAAACUAUUUGUUGAAACAUGAGAACAAAACUUACCAACAGUUGCCAUGGUGACAAUGGCAAAGUACAUUGAUGUAACAUAACGCGUGGCAAGAUCAAUCUCCCUGAAAUGGGAAUAGCUAUAGUCUCCUAGCUGCAAGCUCCCGAUCCAUGUAUAUCCCUCCAUUGAUUCAGGAAGUGUUGUUGCCAGGUAAUAGAAGAUACAAGCUGCUGUGUGUGUACAAUAGAGCUCCACAACUAUGAGUUUUACUAUUCUUGUGA